UCACCCCACAGGUUUUCUAUGGGGUUCAGGUCAGAGGAUUGGGAUGGCCAUGGCAGAAUCUUGAUUUUGUGAGUCCAUGAUGCCAUGUAUCUGAACAAGAUGUCCAGGACCUCUGGCAGAAAAACAUCCCCACAACAUUAAAGAUCCAGCACCAUAUUUAACGAACCCGGUCCCAUUUGAAGUUCCUGUAGUGUCUGGCAAACUGAAGACGCUUGAGUUUGUUGUUGGAUGAGAGCAGAGGCAUUUUUCUUGAAACCCUCCAAAACAACUUGUGGUGAUGUAGAUGAUGUC